rnacentral:miRNA from 14 species
GCGUGAACACAAGCGUGAUACC